GGCUAGUUUACUCAACUGGCUGUGACAUUGGUCACCCCAUUGAUCAUCAGGGUUGAUUCAGCUGAUCUGGUUGGCUAGGCGGGUGCCCCCUUCCUCCCUCACUGCUCCAGGUGCAUCCCUCCUGAAGCUGCACACUCGGUCAAAGAGGACGACCCUAACCAUCCCCAAUAGAGGAGGACCAGUCUUGGGUCAAGUGCAUACAAGUACCUAAGCUCUCCUGCUAGAACCUCCAAACAAGCUCUCAAACUUCCUAAUUUAAGAAUGAAAGGGAGGUAUGACUAAGACACAUAGGAAUUUAAAAGUCUAAUAAAGGAAUCCUAU
rnacentral:snRNA from 1 species